AGAGUUUGAUCCUGGCUCAGGACGAACGCUGGCGGCGUGCCUAAUACAUGCAAGUAGAACGCUGAAGGAGGAGCUUGCUUCUCUGGAUGAGUUGCGAACGGGUGAGUAACGCGUAGGUAACCUGCCUGGUAGCGGGGGAUAACUAUUGGAAACGAUAGCUAAUACCGCAUAAGAGUGGAUGUUGCAUGACAUUUGCUUAAAAGGUGCACUUGCAUCACUACCAGAUGGACCUGCGUUGUAUUAGCUAGUUGGUGGGGUAACGGCUCACCAAGGCGACGAUACAUAGCCGACCUGAGAGGGUGAUCGGCCACACUGGGACUGAGACACGGCCCAGACUCCUACGGGAGGCAGCAGUAGGGAAUCUUCGGCAAUGGACGGAAGUCUGACCGAGCAACGCCGCGUGAGUGAAGAAGGUUUUCGGAUCGUAAAGCUCUGUUGUAAGAGAAGAAUGAGUGUGAGAGUGGAAAGUUCACACUGUGACGGUAUCUUACCAGAAAGGGACGGCUAACUACGUGCCAGCAGCCGCGGUAAUACGUAGGUCCCGAGCGUUGUCCGGAUUUAUUGGGCGUAAAGCGAGCGCAGGCGGUUAGAUAAGUCUGAAGUUAAAGGCUGUGGCUUAACCAUAGUAGGCUUUGGAAACUGUUUAACUUGAGUGCAAGAGGGGAGAGUGGAAUUCCAUGUGUAGCGGUGAAAUGCGUAGAUAUAUGGAGGAACACCGGUGGCGAAAGCGGCUCUCUGGCUUGUAACUGACGCUGAGGCUCGAAAGCGUGGGGAGCAAACAGGAUUUGAUACCCUGGUAGUCCACGCUGUAAACGAUGAGUGCUAGGUGUUAGACCCUUUCCGGGGUUUAGUGCCGUAGCUAACGCAUUAAGCACUCCGCCUGGGGAGUACGACCGCAAGGUUGAAACUCAAAGGAAUUGACGGGGGCCCGCACAAGCGGUGGAGCAUGUGGUUUAAUUCGAAGCAACGCGAAGAACCUUACCAGGUCUUGACAUCCCUCUGACCGCUCUAGAGAUAGAGCUUUCCUUCGGGACAGAGGUGACAGGUGGUGCAUGGUUGUCGUCAGCUCGUGUCGUGAGAUGUUGGGUUAAGUCCCGCAACGAGCGCAACCCCUAUUGUUAGUUGCCAUCAUUUAGUUGGGCACUCUAGCGAGACUGCCGGUAAUAAACCGGAGGAAGGUGGGGAUGACGUCAAAUCAUCAUGCCCCUUAUGACCUGGGCUACACACGUGCUACAAUGGCUGGUACAACGAGUCGCAAGCCGGUGACGGCAAGCUAAUCUCUUAAAGCCAGUCUCAGUUCGGAUUGUAGGCUGCAACUCGCCUACAUGAAGUCGGAAUCGCUAGUAAUCGCGGAUCAGCACGCCGCGGUGAAUACGUUCCCGGGCCUUGUACACACCGCCCGUCACACCACGAGAGUUUGUAACACCCGAAGUCGGUGAGGUAACCGUAAGGAGCCAGCCGCCUAAGGUGGGAUAGAUGAUUGGGGUGAAGUCGUAACAAGGUAGCCGUAUCGGAAGGUGCGGCUGGAUCACCU
rnacentral:rRNA from 1 species